GGGCCGCGAUUCGCCCUUGCCUAACACAUGCAAGUCGAACGAUUAAAGCUCUCUUCGGAGAGUGCAUAGAGUGGCGCACGGGUGAGUAACACGUAAGUAAUCUACCCUCGAGUGGGGAAUAACAUCGGGAAACCGAUGCUAAUACUGCAUAAUGCAGCGGCACCGCAAGGUGACAGUUGUUAAAGAUUUAUCGCUUGAGGAGGAGCUUGCGGCAGAUUAGCUAGUUGGUAAGGUAAUGGCUUACCAAGGCUACGAUCUGUAACCGGUCUAAGAGGACGGUCGGUCACACUGACACUGAAUAACGGGUCAGACUCCUACGGGAGGCAGCAGUCGGGAAUUUUGGGCAAUGGGGGAAACCCUGGCCCAGCAACGCCGCGUGAAGGAUGAAGUAUUUCGGUAUGUAAACUUCGAAAGAAUAGGAAGAAUAAAUGACGGUACUAUUUAUAAGGUCCGGCUAACUACGUGCCAGCAGCCGCGGUAAUACGUAGGGACCAAGCGUUGUUCGGAUUUACUGGGCGUAAAGGGCGCGUAGGCGGCGUGACAAGUCACUUGUGAAAUCUCCGGGCUUAACUCGGAACGGCCAAGUGAAACUGUUGUGCUAGAGUGCAGAAAGGGCAAUCGGAAUUCUUGGUGUAGCGGUGAAAUGCGUAGAUAUCAAGAGGAACACCUGAGGCGAAGGCGGGUUGCUUGUCUGACACUGACGCUGAGUGCGCGAAAGCCAGGGGAGCAAACGGGAUUAGAUACCCCGGUAGUUCUGGCCCUAAACGAUGAAUACUUGGUGUCUGGAGUUUUAAUACUCUGGGUGCCGUCGCUAACGUUUUUAGUAUUCCGCCUGGGGAGUACGCUCGCAAGAGUGAAACUCAAAGGAAUUGACGGGGACCCGCACAAGCGGUGGAGCAUGUGGUUUAAUUCGACGCAACGCGAAGAACCUUACCUACCCUUGACAUGCCUGGAAUCUUGCAGAGAUGUGAGAGUGCUCGAAAGAGAGCCAGGACACAGGUGCUGCAUGGCCGUCGUCAGCUCGUGUCGUGAGAUGUUGGGUUAAGUCCCGCAACGAGCGCAACCCUUGUCAUUAGUUGCUACGAAAGGGCACUCUAAUGAGACUGCCGGUGACAAACCGGAGGAAGGUGGGGAUGACGUCAGGUCCUCAUGGCCCUUAUGGGUAGGGCUACACACGUCAUACAAUGGCCGGUACAGAGGGCUGCCAACCCGCGAGGGGGAGCCAAUCCCAGAAAACCGGUCGUAGUCCGGAUCGCAGUCUGCAACUCGACUGCGUGAAGUCGGAAUCGCUAGUAAUCGCGGAUCAGCUUGCCGCGGUGAAUACGUUCCCGGGUCUUGCAACACACCGCCCGUCACA
rnacentral:rRNA from 1 species